UAGGUGGUUUGUCGCGUCGUCUGUGAAAUUCCGGGGCUCAACCUCGGGCGUGCAGGCGAUACGGGCAUAACUUGAGUGCUGUAGGGGAGACUGGAAUUCCUGGUGUAGCGGUGAAAUGCGCAGAUAUCAGGAGGAACACCGAUGGCGAAGGCAGGUCUCUGGGCAGUAACUGACGCUGAGGAGCGAAAGCAUGGGUAGCGAACAGGAUUAGAUACCCUGGUAGUCCAUGACGUAAACGGUGGGCGCUAGGUGUAGGGGACUUCCACGUCUUCUGUGCCGUAGCUAACGCAUUAAGCGCCCCGCCUGGGGAGUACGGCCGCAAGGCUAAGACUCAAAGGAAUUGACGGGGGCCCGCACAAGCGGCGGAGCAUGUGGAUUAAUUCGAUGCAACGCGAAGAACCUUACCUGGGCUUGACAUACACCGGACCGGGCCAGAGAUGGUCCUUCCCUUGUGGCCGGUGUACAGGUGGUGCAUGGUUGUCGUCAGCUCGUGUCGUGAGAUGUUGGGUUAAGUCCCGCAACGAGCGCAACCCUUGUCUUAUGUUGCCAGCGCGUGAUGGUGGGGACUCAUGAGAGACUGCCGGGGUCAACUCGGAGGAAGGUGGGGAUGACGUCAAAUCAUCAUGCCCCUUAUGUCCAGGGCUUCACACAUGCUACAAUGGUCGGUACAGCAGGUCGCGAACCCGUGAGGGUAAGCCAAUCCUCGUGAAAGCCGGCCUCAGUUCGGAUUGGGGUCUGCAACUCGACCCCAUGAAGUCGGAGUCGCUAGUAAUCGCAGAUC
rnacentral:rRNA from 1 species